rnacentral:lncRNA from 13 species
UUCAGUCCUCACUGUUCCCUCACGCCCAACAGAAUCAGCCCCUGAGGGCACGUUCAGUCCUGUUACCUCACACUCUACGGAAUCAGCCUCUGUGUGCAUGCUCAGUCCUCACUGUAACCUCACACUCUAUAAAAUCAUUCGCUGUGUGUAUGGUCAGUCCUGACUGUUCCCUCACGCUCUACAGAAUAAUCCUCUGUGUGCAGGAUCAGUCCUCACUGACAUCUCACACACAUAGAGAAUUAGCCUCUGUGUACAUGUUCAGUCCUCACCGUUACCUCACACUACACAAAAUAAGCCUCUGUGUGCACGUUCAGUCUUCACUGUUCCCUCAACUCUACAGAAUAAGCCUCUGUGUGCACAUUCAGUCCUCACUGUUCCCUCAAACUCUACAGAAUAAUCCUCUGUGUGCACGAUCAGUACUCAGUGUCAUCUCACACUCUAUAGAAUUAGCCUCUGUGUGCACGUUCAGACCUCACUGUUCGCUCAAACUCUACAGAAUCAGAGACUGUGCACGUUCAGUCCUCACUGUUCCCUCAAACUCUACAGAAUCAGAGACUGUGCACGUUCAGUCCUCACUGUUCACUCAGACUCUACAGAAUAAGCCUCUGCGUGCACGUUCAGUCCUCUGUUCCCUCACACACAAGAGAAUGAGACUCUGUGUGCAGGUUCAGUCCUCACUGUUCCCUCACCCUCUAAAAAAUAAGCCUCUGUGUGCAUGUGUAGUCCUCACUGUUCCCUCACACUCUACAGAAUCAGCCUGUGUGUGCAUGUUAAGUCCUGACUGUUCCCUGACACUCUACAAAAUAAGCCUCUGUGUACAGGUUCAGUCCUCACUGUUCCCUCACACUCCACAGAUUCAGCCUCUGUGUGCACGUUCAGUCCUCACUGUUCCCUCACAUUCUACAGAAUCAGCCUCUGUGUGCACAUUCAGUCCUCACUGUUCCCUCACACUCUACAGAAUCAGCCUCUGUGUGCAGGUUCAGUCCUCACUGUUCCCUCACACUCUACAGAAUCAGCCGCUGUGUGCACAUUCAGUCCUCACUCUUACCUCAGACUGUGCAGAAUCAGCCUCUCUCUUCAUUUCCAGUCCUCACUGUUACCUCACACUCUACAGAAUCAGGCUCUGUGUACACGAUCACUCCUCAGUGUUCCCUCACAGUCAGCAGAAUCAACCUCUGUGUGCACGUUUUGUCCUCACUGUUUUCUCACACCCGAGAAUCAGCCUCUGAGUGCACGUUCAGUCCUCACUGUUCAGUCCUAUUCUUUAGAGUGGGAAGGAACAGUGAGGACUGAACAUGCACACAUAGGCUGACUUUUUUGGGUCUGAGGGAACAGUGAGGACUCAACGUGCACACAGAGGCUGAUUCUCUUGGGAGUGAAGUAACACUGAGGACUGGACGUGCACACAGAGUCUCAUUCUGUACAAUGUGAGGUAACAGGACUGAACGUGCACACAGACACUGAUUCUGUAGACUGUGAGGGAACAGUGAGAAAUGAACAUGCACACAGAGGCUGAUUCUGUUGGGUGUGAGGGAACAGUGACUGAACAUGCACUCACAGGAUGAUUCUGUAGAGUGUGAACAAACAGCGAGGAAUGAACAUGCACACAGAGGCUGAUUCUGUUGGGUGUCAGGGAACAGUGACUGAACGUGCACACAGGCUGAUUCUGUAGAGUGUGAGGGAACAGUGAGGAGUGAAUGUGCACAUAGUGUCUGAUUGUGUAGAGUUUGAGGGAAAAGUAAGGAAUGAACGCACACACAGUCUUAUUCUAUAGAGUGUGAGGGAACCGUGAGGACUGAACGUGCACACAGAUUCUGAUUCUGUAGAGUGAGGUACCAGUGAGGACUGAAUGUGCACACAGAGGUUGAUUCUGUUGGGUGUGAGGGUACAGUGAGGACGGAAGGUGCACACAGAGGUUGAUUCUGUUGGGUGUGAGGGUACAGUGAGGACUGAAGGUGCACACAAAGGCUGAUUCUGUAGAGUGUGAGGGAACCGUGAGGACUGGAUGUGCACAGAAUCUGAUUCUGUAGACUGUGAGGUAAUCGUGAUGACUGAAUGUGCACACAGAGGCUUAUUCUGUUGGGUGUCAGGGAACAGUGAGGACUGAACGUGCACACAGAGACGAUUAUGUAGUGUGAGGGAACAGUGAGGACUGAACUUGCACACCGAGAACGAUUCUCUUGGGUGUGAGGGAACAGUGAGGACUGAGUGUGCACACAGCGGCUGAUUCUGUGGAGUGUGAGGUAACAGGACUGAGCGUGCACACAGAGGCUGAUUCUGUAGAUUCUGAGGUAACAGUGACGACUGAACGUGCACACAGAGGCUUACUUUGUAGAGUUUGAGGGAACAGUGAGGACUGAACGUGCACAAAGAGGCUGAUUCUGUAGAGUGUGAGGGAACAGUGAGGACUGAACCUGCACACAGAGGCUGAUUCUGUAGAGAGUGAAGGAACAGUGAGGACUCAACUAGCACACACAGGCUGAUUCUGUAGAGUGUGAGGAAACAGUGAGGACGGAACCUGCACACAGAGGCUAAUUUCGUAGAGUGUGAGGUGACAGUGAGGACUGAACGUGCACACAGAGGCUGAUUCUGUAGAGUGAGAUGACACUGAGGCCUGAUGGUGCACACAGAGAAUUAUUCUGUAGAGUGUGAGGGAACAGUGAGGACUGAAGGUGCACACCGAGGCUGAUUCUGUUGGGCGUGAGGGAACAGUGAGGACUGCAUGUGCACACCGAGGCUGAUUCUGUAGAGUGUGAGGGGACAGUGAGGACUGAACGUGCACACAGAGGCUUAUUCUAUAGAGAGUGAGGUGACAGUAAGGACUGAACGUGAACACAGAGGCUGAUUCUGUAGACUUUGAGGUAACAGUGAGGACUGAACGUGCACACAUAGGCUGAUUCAGUAGAGUUUGGGGUAACAGUGAGGACUGAAAGUGCACUCAGAGGCUGAUUCUGUAGAGUGUGAGGGAACAGUGAGGACUGAACGUGCACACAGACGUUGAUUCUGUAGAGUGUGAGGGAACAAUAAACCUCUGUGCACGGAGGCUUAUACUGUAGAG